AUUGAACGCUGGCGGCAGGCUUAACACAUGCAAGUCGAGCGGGGGGAGGUAGCUUGCUACCGGACCUAGCGGCGGACGGGUGAGUAAUGCUUAGGAAUCUGCCUAUUAGUGGGGGACAACAUCUCGAAAGGGAUGCUAAUACCGCAUACGUCCUACGGGAGAAAGCAGGGGAUCUUCGGACCUUGCGCUAAUAGAUGAGCCUAAGGCGGAUUAGCUAGUUGGUGGGGUAAAGGCCUACCAAGGCGACGGACGGUAGCGGGUCUGAGAGGAUGAUCCGCCACACUGGGAAUGAGACACGGCCCAGACUCCUACGGGAGGCAGCAGUGGGGAAUAUUGGACAAUGGGCGGAAGCCUGAUCCAGCCAUGCCGUGUGUGUGAAGAAGGCCUUAUGGUUGUAAAGCACUUUAAGCGAGGAGGAGGCUACUUUAGUUAAUACCUAGAGAUAGUGGACGUUACUCGCAGAAUAAGCACCGGCUAACUCUGUGCCAGCCGCCGCAGUAA
rnacentral:rRNA from 1 species